GCUCUCUGCCUGCUCACCAAGAGUUCUGUUGAAACUCGCCCUGCCCUCCUCCUCCGGCAAGUGUGAGGCUGUGGUAUGUUUCAAGCCCAGGUUUACUAAGCCCCAAGGGCUACUCUUAACAGACAUUAGGAUCAGCAGAGUUUAGCUCCAGAUAAGAUCUGGAGAAGCAGGAGGGAAGUUACUUGUGCAAACACACACACACACACACACACAGUCAUACACAUUCCCUCCAGAGAAAUCUCUUUGUCUGGAGUCUCUCCUGAGAGUCAGAGUACACACAGAAGAUAAGAACUCAGACUCUUCUGCUGCCAUCUCCGUCCAUCUGUCCAUCUGGUCUCCAGAGAGAAUUCCACCGAAACAAUCCUGCUGGGCUGAACCGGGUCGCCUGCAAACUUUGAAGCAUCUGGUCAAGGCUUGCUGACCUUUUCAAGCUGGACCUGGGCCACAUCUCCAGGUGGCUGUCACCUUGGGACAGAGACACCCUCCAAGGCAAAGCAGCACAUACAUCCCUCCAUAAAUCUGUGCAGAAUGGACAACACAGUGUCGGAUGGCCGAAGCACUGACUAUUGUUUCUAGCAUCUUUGAUCUGUCAACAACUCUCAACAACAUUUAUUUACCAGUUCCUACCUGUCCUCUUCUUCCUGCCCCAAAUGACUAGCAAUAGGAAAUAAGUCAAAACUUUUACCACUGGAAGUAAAUAAAUGGGAUUUUAUUUUUAAGUGGAAUAUAAAAUGGCUAUAAUCCUGUAAACUUUUAAAAUCACCCUGUCAGGAGGAAACGGUAAAUUAUACCACACUCACUUAAACAAUAAGUCAAAUAAUUCCCAACACUAAUAGCUCCCUGUCUUAAUCCAUUUGGGCUGCUAUAACAGGAGCCCCUACACAGGGGGGCUUAUAGGCAACAAAAGUUUACUUCUCACAGUUCUGGAGGUGGGGAAGUCCAAGACCAAGAUUCACUGUCUGCUGAGGUCCUGCUUCCUGAUCCACAGACGUGGCCAUCUUCUCUCUGUGUCCUCACAUGGCGGAAGGGGCCAGGAGGCUCACCGGGGUCUCUUUUGUAAGGGCACUAAUCCUAUUAAUUAGAUCUCCACUCUCAGGACCUGACCACCUCCCCA
rnacentral:lncRNA from 1 species